GAUGAACGCUAGCUACAGGCUUAACACAUGCAAGUCGAGGGGAAACGGCAUUGAGUGCUUGCACUCUUUGGACGUCGACCGGCGCACGGGUGAGUAACGCGUAUCCAACCUUCCCAUUACUGUGGGAUAACCUGCCGAAAGGCAGACUAAUACCGCAUAGUCUUCGAUGACGGCAUCAGAUUUGAAGUAAAGAUUUAUCGGUAAUGGAUGGGGGUGCGUCUGAUUAGCUUGUUGGCGGGGUAACGGCCCACCAAGGCUACGAUCAGUAGGGGUUCUGAGAGGAAGGUCCCCCACAUUGGAACUGAGACACGGUCCAAACUCCUACGGGAGGCAGCAGUGAGGAAUAUUGGUCAAUGGACGGAAGUCUGAACCAGCCAAGUAGCGUGCAGGAUGACGGCCCUAUGGGUUGUAAACUGCUUUUGUAUGGGGAUAAAGUUAGGGACGUGUCCCUAUUUGCAGGUACCAUACGAAUAAGGACCGGCUAAUUCCGUG
rnacentral:rRNA from 1 species